UACGUAGGGGGCAAGCGUUGUCCGGAUUUAUUGGGCGUAAAGAGCGUGUAGGCGGCUAGGUAGGUCCGUUGUGAAAACUCGAGGCUCAACCUCGAGAUGUCGGCGGAAACCACUUGGCUAGAGUCCGGAAGAGGAGAGUGGAAUUCCCGGUGUAGCGGUGAAAUGCGCAGAUAUCGGGAAGAACACCUAUGGCGAAGGCAGCUCUCUGGGACGGUACUGACGCUGAGACGCGAAAGCGUGGGGAGCGAACAGG
rnacentral:rRNA from 1 species